UAUUCCUAGCCAUCUCCUCCUUCUGCUUCCCUCUCCUCCUGAGCUGUCCUGAUAAACCUUAUGAUGCCAUUUCAUCUUUAUCAUUGCAGGCAGAACAAAUGCCAAGAUGUGUAUCCAAGUGGUCUUUGGGAAAGUGUCAUGAAGAGAGAUUAGUACACAGCCUUAACUAUUCACCUGGAUAUACAGCUAGAGACUUGUCCUUCUCCACUGCAACCCAGAGGAGGUCCUGCAUAAGCAGCAGGAGUUCUUUACGAGGAGUCCACAUCCAGCUCGUGGCAUGUUUCCUAUGCGUUGGCUGUCUCCAUUAAUUCCCCCUCUCCAGCUAAAUCAAUGUUUCUGUAUGCUGUCAGCACAUAAAGGAAUGCUUUUUUUAAAAU
rnacentral:lncRNA from 1 species